rfam:Chlorocebus sabaeus isolate 1994-021 chromosome 9, whole genome shotgun sequence.
GCCGGGCGCGGUGGCUCACGCCUGUAAUCCCAGCACUUUGGGAGGCUGAGGCGGGUGGAUCAUGAUGUCAGGAGAUCGAGACCACCCUGGCCAAUGUGGUGAAACCCCGCCUCUACUAAAAAAAAAAAAAAAAAAAAANNNNNNNNNNUUUUUUUUUUUUUUUUUUUUUAGUAGAGGCGGGGUUUCACCACAUUGGCCAGGGUGGUCUCGAUCUCCUGACAUCAUGAUCCACCCGCCUCAG